GAUGAAGAACGUAGCGAAAUGCGAUAAGUAAUGUGAAUUGCAGAAUUCAGUGAAUCAUCGAAUCUUUGAACGCACAUUGCGCCCGCUAGUAUUCUGGCGGGCAUGUCUGUCCGAGCGUCAUUUCAACCCUCAAGCCCCCGGGCUUGGUGUUGGGGAUCGGCGAGCCUCCGCGCCCGCCGUCCCCUAAAUCUAGUGGCGGUCUCGCUGUAGCUUCCUCUGCGUAGUAGCACACCUCGCACUGGGAAACAGCGCGGCCACGCCGUUACCCCCAACUUCUGAACGUUUGACCUCGGAUCAGGUAGGAAUACCCGCUGAACUUAAGCAUAUCAAUAAGCGGAGGA
rnacentral:misc_RNA from 1 species